rnacentral:rRNA from 1 species
GAGUUUGAUCAUGGCUCAGAUUGAACGCUGGCGGUAGGCUUAACACAUGCAAGUCGUGCGAGAAAGUAUCUUCGGAUAUGAGUAGAGCGGCGGACGGGUGAGUAACGCGUAGGAAUCUACCUAGUAGAAGGGGAUAGCCCGGGGAAACCCGGAUUAAUACCGUAUACCUCCUUCGGGAGAAAGAAGGCCUCUCUUUGAAGCUUUCGCUAUUAGAUGAGCCUGCGUAAGAUUAGCUUGUUGGUGAGGUAAAGGCUCACCAAGGCGACGAUCUUUAGCUGGUCUGAGAGGACGAUCAGCCACAUUGGGACUGAGACACGGCCCAGACUCCUACGGGAGGCAGCAGUGGGGAAUAUUGGACAAUGGGCGCAAGCCUGAUCCAGCCAUACCGCGUGUGUGAAGAAGGCCUUCGGGUUGUAAAGCACUUUAAGCAGGGAGAAAAAGUUAUAAGUUAAUACCUUAUAACCGUGAUGUUACCUGCAGAAUAAGCACCGGCUAAUUCCGUGCCAGCAGCCGCGGUAAUACGGAAGGUGCAAGCGUUAAUCGGAAUUACUGGGCGUAAAGCGCGCGUAGGUGGUUUGUUAAGUUGGAUGUGAAAGCCCUGGGCUCAACCUAGGAACUGCAUCCAAAACUAACUCACUAGAGUACGAUAGAGGGAGGUAGAAUUCAUAGUGUAGCGGUGGAAUGCGUAGAUAUUAUGAAGAAUACCAGUGGCGAAGGCGGCCUCCUGGAUCUGUACUGACACUGAGGUGCGAAAGCGUGGGUAGCGAACAGGAUUAGAUACCCUGGUAGUCCACGCCGUAAACGAUGACAACUAGCUGUUGGAAGACAACGUCUUUCAGUGCGCAGCUAACGUUUUAAGUUGUC